AGAAGGAACAAUCACAGUGGCGGGGUCAGCUCUGGAGCCCUGGAUUCAGUCCCCGCAGGAACUCCGGAGCUCUCAGUCUGUAGAGCCUGGAGGCUCCGGGGCGGG
rnacentral:pre_miRNA from 1 species